UGGGGAAUAUUGGACAAUGGGGGCAACCCUGAUCCAGCCAUGCCGCGUGAGUGAUGAAGGCCUUCGGGUUGUAAAGCUCUUUUGGCGGGGACGAUGAUGACGGUACCCGCAGAAUAAGCCCCGGCUAACUUCGUGCCAGCAGCCGCGGUAAGACGAAGGGGGCUAGCGUUGUUCGGAAUUACUGGGCGUAAAGCGCGUGUAGGCGGUUGUCCAAGUCGGGUGUGAAAGCCUUGAGCUCAACUCAAGAAAUGCACUCGAUACUGGGCGACUUGAGGACCGGAGAGGAUAGUGGAAUUCCCAGUGUAGUGGUGAAAUACGUAGAGAUUGGGAAGAACACCAGUGGCGAAGGCGGCUAUCUGGACGGUUACUGACGCUAAGACGCGAAAGCGUGGGGAGCAAACA
rnacentral:rRNA from 1 species